UACGAAGGGGGCUAGCGUUGCUCGGAAUCACUGGGCGUAAAGCGUACGUAGGCGGAUUGUUAAGUCAGGGGUGAAAUCCUGGAGCUCAACUCCAGAACUGCCUUUGAUACUGGCGAUCUUGAGUCCGGGAGAGGUGAGUGGAACUGCGAGUGUAGAGGUGAAAUUCGUAGAUAUUCGCAAGAACACCAGUGGCGAAGGCGGCUCACUGGCCCGGUACUGACGCUGAGGUGCGAAAGCGUGGGGAGCAACAGGG
rnacentral:rRNA from 1 species